UACAGAGGGUGCGAGCGUUAAUCGGAAUUACUGGGCGUAAAGCGCACGUAGGCGGCUUUGCAAGUCGGGUGUGAAAUCCCCGGGCUCAACCUGGGAACUGCGCUUGAUACGGCAGAGCUAGAGGAUGGAAGAGGCUCGCGGAAUUCCCAGUGUAGAGGUGAAAUUCGUAGAUAUUGGGAAGAACACCGGUGGCGAAGGCGGCGAGCUGGUCCAUUACUGACGCUGAGGCGCGACAGCGUGGGGAGCAAACAGG
rnacentral:rRNA from 1 species